rnacentral:rRNA from 1 species
GACGGAGGAUGCAAGUGUUAUCCGGAAUCACUGGGCGUAAAGCGUCUGUAGGUGGUUUCAAAAGUCCACUGUUAAAGAUUGAAGCUUAACUUCAAAAAUGCCGUGGAAACCUUGAAACUUGAGUAUGAUAGGGGGUAGAGGGAAUUUCCAGUGGAGCGGUGAAAUGCGUAGAUAUUGGAAAGACCACCAAUGGCGAAGGCAACUCUACUGGGCCAUUACUGACACUGAGAGACGAAAGCUAGGGGAGCAAAUGGG